UUUACGGAGAGUUUGAUCCUGGCUCAGGACGAACGCUGGCGGCGUGCUUAACACAUGCAAGUCGAACGAUGAUGCCCAGCUUGCUGGGUGGAUUAGUGGCGAACGGGUGAGUAACACGUGAGUAACCUGCCCCUGACUCUGGGAUAAGCGUUGGAAACGACGUCUAAUACUGGAUAUGAUCACUGGCCGCAUGGUCUGGUGGUGGAAAGAUUUUUUGGUUGGGGAUGGACUCGCGGCCUAUCAGCUUGUUGGUGAGGUAAUGGCUCACCAAGGCGACGACGGGUAGCCGGCCUGAGAGGGUGACCGGCCACACUGGGACUGAGACACGGCCCAGACUCCUACGGGAGGCAGCAGUGGGGAAUAUUGCACAAUGGGCGAAAGCCUGAUGCAGCAACGCCGCGUGAGGGAUGACGGCCUUCGGGUUGUAAACCUCUUUUAGUAGGGAAGAAGCGAGAGUGACGGUACCUGCAGAAAAAGCACCGGCUAACUACGUGCCAGCAGCCGCGGUAAUACGUAGGGUGCAAGCGUUGUCCGGAAUUAUUGGGCGUAAAGAGCUCGUAGGCGGUUUGUCGCGUCUGCUGUGAAAUCCCGAGGCUCAACCUCGGGCUUGCAGUGGGUACGGGCAGACUAGAGUGCGGUAGGGGAGAUUGGAAUUCCUGGUGUAGCGGUGGAAUGCGCAGAUAUCAGGAGGAACACCGAUGGCGAAGGCAGAUCUCUGGGCCGUAACUGACGCUGAGGAGCGAAAGCGUGGGGAGCGAACAGGAUUAGAUACCCUGGUAGUCCACGCCGUAAACGUUGGGCGCUAGAUGUAGGGACCUUUCCACGGUUUCUGUGUCGUAGCUAACGCAUUAAGCGCCCCGCCUGGGGAGUACGGCCGCAAGGCUAAAACUCAAAGGAAUUGACGGGGGCCCGCACAAGCGGCGGAGCAUGCGGAUUAAUUCGAUGCAACGCGAAGAACCUUACCAAGGCUUGACAUACACCGGAAACGGCCAGAGAUGGUCGCCCCCUUGUGGUCGGUGUACAGGUGGUGCAUGGUUGUCGUCAGCUCGUGUCGUGAGAUGUUGGGUUAAGUCCCGCAACGAGCGCAACCCUCGUUCUAUGUUGCCAGCGCGUUAUGGCGGGGACUCAUAGGAGACUGCCGGGGUCAACUCGGAGGAAGGUGGGGAUGACGUCAAAUCAUCAUGCCCCUUAUGUCUUGGGCUUCACGCAUGCUACAAUGGCCGGUACAAAGGGCUGCGAUACCGUAAGGUGGAGCGAAUCCCAAAAAGCCGGUCUCAGUUCGGAUUGAGGUCUGCAACUCGACCUCAUGAAGUCGGAGUCGCUAGUAAUCGCAGAUCAGCAACGCUGCGGUGAAUACGUUCCCGGGCCUUGUACACACCGCCCGUCAAGUCAUGAAAGUCGGUAACACCCGAAGCCGGUGGCCUAACCCUUGUGGAAGGAGCCGUCGAAGGUGGGAUCGGUGAUUAGGACUAAGUCGUAACAAGGUAGCCGUACCGGAAGGUGCGGCUGGAUCACCUCCUUUCUAAGGA
rnacentral:rRNA from 1 species